rnacentral:lncRNA from 1 species
UCCCGGAUCUGGGUUUAAGCUAACUUCAUGAAUUUCUUUAGUGCGGGAUCUUUGUCUUAUUAACACUGAAUUCAAUGUAGAUCGACAUUCCGGUGCUACAGCCAAAAGUUGCUUCAUUGUAAUUGAAGGCUGAAUAACAUCCAAAUCCCUGAGAAUGUCGUAGGAUUCCAUAUUGAGAGUAAUUUUCAAUGCUCUUUUGCGUUUCAUUGGUUUCGAUUUUAUUUCUUUCGGUAGC